rnacentral:rRNA from 1 species
AACGAACGCUGGCGGCAUGCCUAACACAUGCAAGUCGAACGAGACCUUCGGGUCUAGUGGCGCACGGGUGCGUAACGCGUGGGAACCUGCCCUUAGGUUCGGAAUAACUCCCCGAAAGGGGUGCUAAUACCGGAUAAUGUCUUCGGACCAAAGAUUUAUCGCCUUUGGAUGGGCCCGCGUUGGAUUAGCUAGUUGGUAGGGUAAAAGCCUACCAAGGCGACGAUCCAUAGCUGGUCUGAGAGGAUGAUCAGCCACACUGGGACUGAGACACGGCCCAGACUCAUACGGGAGGCAGCAGUGGGGAAUAUUGGACAAGGGGCGAAAGCCUGAUCCAGCAAUGCCGCGUGAGUGAUGAAGGCCUUAGGGUUGUAAAGCUCUUUUACCCGGGAUGAUAAUGACAGUACCGGGAGAAUAAGCUCCGGCUAACUCCGUG